AAUGUUAAAUACUUCUAUGUUCAGUUAGUUAUAUUGAAUUCAAUGAUAAAUCAUGAUUGGAUAAUAAUAUUAUCAUUAAAAUAAAAUGAUGAUUGGCUCCAGUCACAGUACUCGGUAGCCAUCAUCACAUAGAACGUUACAUUGAAAGAUGACUGAAUGGAACGGGAAAAAAUCGUUACCAGCGCAUGUGCAAUACUGUGCUGAUUGAGACCGAGAGUUAUUUUUCCAUUCAAUGCCAUUUUGAUUUAAUAUCAAGUUCAAGUUCAAGCUGUCCUGAUGAAGAAAAUGGCGACCCAGCGCUAUUCUCAGCGAAAUUGUCUGACUGUGUUUAUUGCAUACAAAGACUUGGGUUGGUUGUGUCAGGACUCUGAUGAGAAGUGUCUCACUCUAUCCAAACAGAACUUCAUUGCGCAACUGAUGAGACAGUUUCAGCGUUUCAUUACAUCAACUAAUCCUCAAUAUCUAGGUGGAAGCAAGUGAGGAGACACAAGCAAGAGCUCUGCUCCUUCUGCGCAGAGUUGUCAACAGUGAUGCCCAGUUCUAUUCUCAGUUUUUCUCGCGAGAACAAGAUGGUGUGCUAGCAUGCCAUCACCAUGCAAAUCGGGCCUCCAUAUUCUCAAGGUUAGACAUGUGUUUCUUCAUAAUUUAUUACUAGCAGACUUUCUGUGAACAUAGACUUGACGCAGUUAUAAACCACAGCGUCCUCUAAUACUGUUCAUCAGAGUAAAUUCUAUCCUGUCUUGUGUCGGCGAGAUAUCUGUGCGAAAACGUUUACCGUAUUGUCUGAUUGGGUUGAAAAGUUUUUAAAAAUUUGGUACUAUGGGAUAUGUUUUUUAAUAACCAAACAAGUAUCCCUAAUAGUCCAGUCAAUAUAGACAUAAGAAAGGGGUGUGCUUGCAAUUUAUAUUGUAGUUCUGAUUUUUUAAUAUAUUAUUAGGGUACAUAAGAGAAGUCCAGAACCGAUAUCUCCAUGCAAAAUUUCCUUGUGCUACAUACAGGGUGGCCCAAACACCUCGUAUUUUCAGCUCAUUUUCCAGUUUUCAGCUAUUUCUGCCAAAUCUCAUGAUCGGACAGAAAAAUUUGCUCUUGCCUUUUUUCUAGAAUAUUAAAUUCUGAAUAAAAUGAGAUCAUUCGGAAACUCUCUAUCUCCAAUGAAUACUGAGUUAUGAUUUUUCAAAAAUGAGUGAAAUUUGAAGAAAAAAUCAAUUUUGAUGAAUAUUAGUUUUUGAUCAACUAUUGUUCUUCCUAUUGUUACCAUUUAGAUGUAUAAUUCAAAAUCACUCUGGGCGUAUAUUUGUGCUCUACAAUCUGAGAUCAGAUAGAGCGCUCUAUCCCAUAUAGAUUUCCAAUAUUUUACCUGCAAUGUUUUCAGAUCAUAUGCCUAUUGUUUUGAAGGUGUUUAGUGAUAAGUUAGAAUUCAAUGAAAAUUUGCUACCGUUAUUACCGAAAUUGACAUGGGGAAAACUAGAUGACAGUGGUUAUGCUGAAAGGCUUGCUGGGGAGAGUUGUAAAAUAGAUUUUCUACCAGGAAACAUAGAUGCAGCAAAUAAUUUAUUGACAAAAUUGAUAGCUGAUUCAGCUAGCGGCUCAAUAUCGCAGAGAGGAAAUAAGAUUGAUGUCAGGAAAAAUGUCUGGUUUGAUAGAGAAUGUGUAAGAUACAGAGAUCGCGUGUUUGCGCUUCUCAAAUUAUUCAGAAGAACGAAUUCCAAGCAAGUGAAGAACGAUUACACGUCAAAGCUAAAGGAAUAUAAGUGGUUAUGUAAGAGAAAGAAAGAAGCUUAUUGGGCCGAAAUUAAGGAAAAACUAAAAACUGUAAGGGAUUCUAAGAAAUUUUGGGAGCUGGCUCGGUUUUUCAGGGAGGGAAAACUUACGCGAAGUGGAAAUAUUAUUCCAGAACAAUGGAUACAGCACUUUAGACAGUUGUAUACACCUGUUAGAAGUAGUGGACAGAUAUCGUGGGUUGAGCCUCUUGUUAUCGACGAUUUAUUAGACAAGCCAAUCGAGAUAACAGAAAUAGAUUUAGCUUUGAAAAAAGCUCGAAACAAUAAAGCACCAGGUGUUGAUAGAAUAACGGCUGAGUUUUUUAAAAAAGCGCCAAUAGAAUUCCGACAGCUAUUGUGCAUGUUUUUUAACCGUAUAUUUCGUUUUCUUGAUGUACCAAUGUCAUUCACAAAGUCUAUAAUAUUUCCAUUGUAUAAGAAAAAUGAUCCCAAUAAUCCUGAGAACUACAGAGCGAUUUCAUUUACUAAUGCAAUUUACAAAAUAUUUUUAAGUGUCUUGUUGACAAGAUUGGAGAAGUGGAUUUAUGGUCGAGAAGUCAUAAGUGAGAAUCAAGCAGGUUUUCGGAAAGGAUACUCCGCAAUUGAUAACAUUUAUAUUCUUUUCAACGUAAUUAAACAUUCUCUAUACAAGCGUAAAAGAUUAUACUGUUUCUUCGUCGAUUAUAAAGCUGCGUUCGAUUCAGUAGAGACAAGCACUCUUUUAUAGACUGGCUGAGAUAGGAGUUUCAAAUAAAUUUGUUAAUUUAAUAAGAG
rnacentral:misc_RNA from 1 species